CUUUCCUUGAUGACGACUGGCGCACGGGUGAGUAACGCGUAUCCAACCUUCCCAUAACUACGGGAUAACCCGUUGAAAGACGGCCUAAUACCGUAUGACAUCGUUUGCUGACAUCAAAUAACGAUUAAAGGUUUAGCGGUUAUGGAUGGGGAUGCGUCUGAUUAGCUUGUUGGCGGGGUAACGGCCCACCAAGGCGACGAUCAGUAGGGGUUCUGAGAGGAAGGUCCCCCACAUUGGAACUGAGACACGGUCCAA
rnacentral:rRNA from 1 species